GAUGAACGCUGACAGCAUGCUUAACACAUGCAAGUCAACUUGAACUUCGGUUUGGGUGGCGGACGGGUGAGUAACGCGUAAAGAACUUGCCUCACAGCUAGGGACAACAUUUGGAAACGAAUGCUAAUACCUGAUAUUAUGAUUAUAUGGCAUCGUAUAAUUAUGAAAGCUAUAUGCGCUGUGAGAGAGCUUUGCGUCCCAUUAGCUAGUUGGAGAGGUAACAGCUCACCAAGGCGAUGAUGGGUAGCCGGCCUGAGAGGGUGAUCGGCCACAAGGGGACUGAGACACGGCCCUUACUCCUACGGGAGGCAGCAGUGGGGAAUAUUGGACAAUGGACCGAGAGUCUGAUCCAGCAAUUCUGUGUGCACGAUGAAGUUUUUCGGAAUGUAAAGUGCUUUCAGUUGGGAAGAAAAAAAUGACGGUACCAACAGAAGAAGUGACGGCUAAAUACGUG
rnacentral:rRNA from 1 species